rnacentral:rRNA from 1 species
UCCAGACUCCUACGGGAGGCAGCAGUGGGGGAUAUUGCACAAUGGGGGGAACCCUGAUGCAGCGACGCCGCGUGGGUGAAGGAGCGUUUCGGCGCGUAAAGCCCUCUCGGCAGGGAAGAAGGAGGACGGUACCUGACUAAGAAGCCCCGGCUAACUACGUGCCAGCAGCCGCGGUAAUACGUAGGGGGCAAGCGUUAUCCGGAUUUACUGGGUGUAAAGGGGGCGCAGACGGCAGCGCAAGCCAGGAGUGAAAGCCCGGGGCCCAACCCCGGGACUGCUCUUGGAACUGCGCGGCUGGAGUGCAGGAGGGGCAGGCGGAAUUCCUGGUGUAGCGGUGAAAUGCGUAGAUAUCAGGAGGAACACCGGUGGCGAAGGCGGCCUGCUGGACUGCGACUGACGUUGAGGCCCGAAAGCGUGGGGAGCAAACAGGAUUAGAUACCCUAGUAAG